rnacentral:rRNA from 1 species
UACGGAGGGUGCAAGCGUUAUCCGGAUUCACUGGGUUUAAAGGGUGCGUAGGUGGGUUUGUAAGUCAGUGGUGAAAUCUCCAAGCUUAACUUGGAAACUGCCGUUGAUACUAUAAAUCUUGAAUGUUGUGGAGGUGGGCGGAAUAUGUCAUGUAGCGGUGAAAUGCUUAGAUAUGACAUAGAACACCAAUUGCGAAGGCAGCUCACUACACAAAGAUUGACACUGAGGCACGAAAGCGUGGGGAUCAAACAGG